CAGUAGCCACGGGAACACGGAGGGUGCAAGCGUUAAUCGAAAUUACUGGGCGUAAAGCGCACGCAGGCGGUCUGACAAGUCAGAUGUGAAAUCCCCGGGCUUAACCUGGGAACUGCAUUUGAAACUGUCAGGCUGGAGUCUUGUAGAGGGGGGUGGAAUUCCAGGUGUAGCGGUGAAAUGCGUAGAGAUCUGGAGGAAUACCGGUGGCGAAGGCGGCCCCCUGGACAAAGACUGACGCUCAGGUGCGAAAGCGUGGGGAGCAAACAGGAUUAGAUACCCCCGUAGUACCUGUCUCUUAUAC
rnacentral:rRNA from 1 species